CUGGCUCAGAAUGAACGUGGCGGCAUGGAUUAGGCAUGCAAGUCGUACGGUGAAGGGGAGCUUGCUCCUCCGAUCAGUGGCGAAAGGGAUAGUAACGCGUAGACACCUACCUUCUGGACGGGGAUAGCUGCGGGAAACUGCAGGUAAUACCCGAUAAUGACGAGAGUCCAAAGGUGUAAUUCCUUCAGAAGACGGAUCUGCGUCCUACCAGAUAGUUGGCGGGGUAACGGCCCACCAAGUCUAAGACGGGUAGCGGGUGUGAGAGCAUGACCCGCAUCACUGGGACUGAGACACUGCCCAGACACCUACGGGUGGCUGCAGUCGAGAAUCUUCGUCAAUGGGCGAAAGCCUGAACGAGCGAUGCCGCGUGCCGGGAUGGAGGCCUUCGGGUUGUAAACCGCUGUCGAAUUGGAGGAAAUGCAUAGUGUAGAAUUAUGCUUGACUGAUAGUAGAAGGAAGGACGGGCUAAGUUCGUGCCAGCAGCCGC
rnacentral:rRNA from 1 species